GUUGUUAUAACCGUUAGAUUGCAGGCAGUGCACUCCGACAAGAAGCUGCAUCAACACUGAGUUUUGUGUGCCUGGAGCCGUACAGGCACAGAUGUUGGCUGCUCUAGGGCAGAGUGCUUCGUCAGUCUCGAUGCCGCCAUACAGCACUUCCACGAUCUCUUUCUCAAGAAGACUGCUGACUCCUGGGGUGUCGAGCCUGCCGACUUUGUCAAAUUGCAACGUUGUAUUUUCACUCGCAAACUGGAACACAUUGAUCCCAAGGUAGACAACAUCAUGCCAUCUCUAUAUUUCUAUUGCAAUGUACUACGUAUCUAAAAUAUAAAUCGGGACUUUUGUCAUGCAUUGGCCUGUUUGAUGUAGAAUUGUCUGAUGUUGAACUCGGAGUAUGGAUGAAAUGGCGAAGGCUGCCGAAUACAACCACUCUGGAGUUUUACUGUUUACUUCGCAGCUCUCCCAUCGUUAUUCAGCCUUCGUCCUUUUGCGAGUGUGCUCCGAUGUUAUGCAACGACUUGUGGUUGUAAGGUGAAAAUGCUACCAUGAAUGUCUUAUCAAGGCGACAUGGCGUGUGGUGUGCUUUUUGUGCAAAUUGGUGCAAAUUUAUCUGUGGGCGGUUUGUUGCUUCGAGAGCGCUUCGUUUCUAAAGCUUGCAACACGGCCUGGUCCCUAAGCCCACCUUUAUAUUUGUAAUCCUUUUAGUGCUUCUCUGCAUCAGUCUGAGUAAUUCAAAAUCGCUGUUAAUUUUUUGGGAUCUUGUUAGGUAUUCCUAUGGUCAUCUUACCUCGUUGCACAGAACGAUGAGACUAGUGAAAAGACAAAACUCAUACAUCAGGUGUCAUUGGAGCUGGGAUCUCGACGUUAGAAUCUCAUUUAUUUCCAUUUCGACAUCGCCUUAAUGACUGAUGCCGUGCAGCAGUUUGAUGUCGGUCUUGACUCUUAAUGUCGAGCUGCCGCAAAGUGUACGAGCAAGCAUCCCAAUAUGCGUCCCUUUGUAGACUGAUGUUAGGGAAAUGUCACUAUGGAAGAUGUCAGGGGUGCGGAUGAUUUUGGAAACCCCUAGAGUUCAAGCGAUUUCCGCCUUACUAGCUUUGAAAAUUAUAACCUUUGCUGUUAUAAUUUUACUAGGAACGAUUUGGUCCAAAUAGAGCGACAUCAGUUUGCUUGAAGGAAGUUCCUGUUGGAUUGCCUCAACGUCAGGUACUGCUCUCCUGUGAAUGAGUCAUACGCAAGGAUUGUUACAAUAAGACAGGUACUUUUUCCCUAGGCAAUUUCUGGCAGAGUAAGUAAAUUAAACUGGUAACUUUGUCGAAGCAAUUUGCUUUCAUCAAUCUAAGAGGUGUGAGUGCAAUUGCACUGAACGCGGAGACGUGCUUCGUGGAGCCGGGGACAGGUGUUGUCGACCCCACUGAUUAGCCAGUGACGUCUGCAGAGAUGAGAAUUGACCUUCUGUGCAGCGAGUACAUUAUUGUUAUCCGACACCUCUCAAGCCAACAUUAACUUCAAUUUCCAAAGAUCGCGAUGAACAUGAACAAGAUCUUAUUCCCUAAUGUUGGUAUUAUUAAUACCAUUGACAAUAAAACUGUCGCAUUCAGUCAACGUUGUCUUCACAAUUAGUUGUAGCGCAUUCUAGAUUGUUCAAAUAUGUUGCGAAGGUGAAUUCCCACGUGUCAGUAUUGUAGUCAAGAUUAUUCUUCCGGGUCUCUACCAUGCACAAGAAGUGCAGUUUCUCGCAAUAGCGCGAAUGUAGCAAUGAGUGUAGUUGUCCAACUUAUUAGUUGAUUAAAGAAAUCCACACCUGUCGUAACUUGUUGAGUGGAUCAAGUGUCCUUGAGUGUGCGGCAUUGCGAUGUCUGCUGAUCGGUUUUGACGCAAUGUGAUUUCUGCCCAGUGCUCUGAAUAUCAAAGUGAAGAAAUUCAACCAAGCGCGGGUAAACAUCGGGAGUAACUAUGACUCUCUUAAGGUAGCCAAAUGCCUCGUCAUCUAAUUAGUGACGCGCAUGAAUGGAUUAACGAGAUCCCUACUGUCCCUAUCUACUAUCUAGCGAAACCACAGCCAAGGGAACGGGCUUGACAGAAUCAGCGGGGAAAGAAGACCCUGUUGAGCUUGACUCUAGUCCGACUUUGUGAAGAGACAUGGCGGGUGUAGCAAUAAGUGGGAGACUCGGUGUCUGCUGCUGGGUACGACAAUGAAAGACCACUCCCAUCAUUGUUUCUUUACUUAUUCGGUGAGGCGGGAUGAGCAGCAAUGUGUAUGAAAGUAGUUGCAUUGGCAUUGAAGCACAUGCUGGCGUGUGGGCUCGCGCUCACGUGACGGCAUCUUCGGUCGCAGCCGGCUGGCCGUUGUCUGCUGCUGCUGCCGCUGCUGCGGGUGCGGCAGGCGGGUGGACGGUGGUGUUAUCAGUCGGAGUGUGUGUGCGACGUGCGACCCGAUCUGAAGACAUUGUCAGGCGGGGAGUUUGGCUGGGGCGGUACAUCUGUCAAAUCGUAACGCAGGUGUCCCAAGGUGAGCUCAGCCAGGACAGAAACCUGGCGUGGAGCAGAAGGGCAAAAGCUCACUUGAUGCUGAUUUUCAGUACAAGUACACACCGUGAAAGCGUGGCCUAUCGAUCCUUUUGAUGAUUUCACCACAUUCCGAGUUUGAAGCAAGAGGUGUCAGAAAAGUUACCACAGGGAUAACUGGCUUGUGGCGGCCAAGCGUUCAUAGCGACGUCGCUUUUUGAUCCUUCGAUGUCGGCUCUUCCUAUCAUUGUGAAGCAGAAUUCACCAAGCGUCGGAUUGUUCACCCACUAAUAGGGAACGCGAGCUGGGUUUAGACCGUCGUGAGACAGGUUAGUUUUACCCUACUGAUGGGCACGAGCGAAGUGCAAGCUGGUCGUUGCUAUGGUAAUCCUGUUCAGUACGAGAGGAACCGCAGGUUCAGACAUUUGGUACAUGUGCCUGGUCGAUCGGCCAAUGGUGCGAGGCUACCAUCUGAGGGAUUAAGACUGAACGCCUCUAAGUCUGAAUCCCAUCCAGAGGUGCAACGAUACACUGCGGCCUGCCACAUGGUGAGGCAGCUAUAGCACUUUCCAUUCGCCGGUUUCCUUCGCUCGCAGCUACUGUGCUGCGGCAUCCGCGGAUGGUCUGGCUGGUAGUGCGAGGCCAGAGCGUGGACCACGACCACGUGCAUCAGAUGCUCAUGGUGCUGCGUGGGGGUCGAUACGAUAUCCAAUUGUGGAAUGAGUGUGCAGGCACUAAAUCGUUUGUAGACGACUUAAUACUUUGUUGGGGAGACGUGAGUACUCGAGCAGCUAUCACACUGCGAGGUGUUGAGUCCUAUCCCUACUUGACG
rnacentral:rRNA from 1 species